rnacentral:rRNA from 1 species
UACGGAGGGGGCUAGCGUCGUUCGGAAUUACUGGGCGUAAAGGGCGCGUAGGCGGCCUUUCAAGUCGGAUGUGAAAGCCCUGGGCUCAACCCGGGAAUGGCAUUCGAGACUGGGGGGCUAGAGUCCGGGAGAGGUGAGCGGAAUUCCCAGUGUAGAGGUGAAAUUCGUAGAUAUUGGGAAGAACACCGGUGGCGAAGGCGGCUCACUGGACCGGCACUGACGCUGAGGCGCGAAAGCGUGGGGAGCAAACAGG